CAGAAAAUAGUUUAUAAUAAAAUGAUAAUUUUGGGGAUUAUUGAAAAGUUAAUUAACUUUUUUCUGA
rnacentral:tRNA from 1 species